rnacentral:pre_miRNA from 1 species
UGGAAAGUUCAUUGUUCGGCACCAUGGAUCUCCAGGUGGGUCACGGUUAGAAAUACACCAACCUGGAGGACUCCAUGCUGUUGA